CCACUGUUGAGGAGUCUGAAAAUAGGACGAAACGGUCGUCCAGUGC
rfam:Schistosoma rodhaini strain Burundi genome assembly, scaffold: SROB_scaffold0007656